GCGGGACCUAAGACCAUUUUCAAACAGCAUAGUUCAUGGGAAAAUUAAGAAAGCAUUCACAAACAAACUAACAAUUGAUGCUAAUUGCUGUCUCAUCUGUUUCUGUGUUCCAGUGCCUGGUGUUCUAAGGUUUGCUUCCUGGCUUGAUGGAUGAAGCUUUAGCAAUCUCAAAAAUGGACUCGUUUCCUUCCUGUUUGGUGUCUCCUGUGCUUGCUGUUUCUGUUUGGAGGUCAUUGCAUGUGUCUGAUUGAGCAACUGUCAUUGUGCAUUUCUGUUUGCAGUGCUUUGCUUAAAUUUUGAACCCUUAGCAAUAAUAAAAGUCUUUGGAGUUUUCCA